UACAGAGGGUGCGAGCGUUGUCCGGAAUCACUGGGCGUAAAGGGCGCGUAGGUGGCGCUCCAAGUCUGUGGUGAAAGCUCGAUGCUCAACAUCGAGUCGGCCAUAGAGACUGGAGGGCUCGAGCACUGUAGGGGCAGAUGGAAUUCCGGGUGUAGCGGUGGAAUGCGUAGAGAUCCGGAAGAACACCGGUGGCGAAGGCGGUCUGCUGGCAGUUGCUGACACUGAGGCGCGACAGCGUGGGGAGCAAACAGG
rnacentral:rRNA from 1 species